UUGAACACGAAAUACUUAUAUUAAAAUUAAAGACCCAAUGGGCUAAGUCGGUUACAACUGGAGAGAUUCUCGACGAUAAACUGAUAGACGAAAAUAACUAAAACAUGUCGAAAGAUAGAUGUGGCUAAGGAGAGAAGAGACCCAUAGAGACACUUCACUUGUAGUCCUAAAGCUCGCGUUCGAAGAAACGCACAUAGGUCGAAAUCGACGUUGAAUAGCCCAACUAAUGGGUUUUGAAAGCAAGAGUUCCGGGAAACUCCAUAGAAGAUAACAGCUCCGAUGGGAAAGUCGCAGAGAUGACUCUGUGAAGAACCGUCGAUGCUUGAGACGGCAUAAUGUGAUGGAAACGCAACAAUGACAUAGAAACGAGCAAAUCUGGCGUGUCCACACUCUUGCACAAUAGUUUCUGCGACAAGGAUAGGGAUGGGGGCACCAUAGGGCUGACUCUGUGAAGAACCGUCGAUGUUUGAGACGGCGUAGUGUGAUGGAGGCGCAGCGAUAACGUAACAACAUGAAGAACUGGCGAGUCCACACUCUUGCACAGGACCGUAGAGCUGACUAUGUGAAGAACCGUCGAUGCUUGAGACGGCAUAAUGUAAUGGAGACGCAGCAGUAACAUAGUAUCGAGAAAAUCUGGCGAAUCCACACUCUUGCACAAUAGAUCCAGCGACAAGGGAGAGAGGCGUUAUACCGUCGGUUGAAGAGCUAUGGAUCUUUUGAGCGGUCGUAGCUUUAGACGAAAACUUCACUAUGGAAGCUUCUGCAUACAACCCAAAGCCCAAAAGAUGGUCAAAGCUUUGUAGAAUCUUGUCCGAGUAUGACGGAAAGGAGGCGACAUAUAUCUUAGUGGUAUCAGUGGUACAUGUAAGACGAAGUGUGACGAUUGUACCGAUGGUUGGUGAAGCCGCAUACCGGUUCAGAGACGGUGAGAUGCAGCGGUGAAUCGCGAAUCUAUACCAAAGAGGAAACCACAAAUGUGUUGGAGAUGGUGACGAGGUGUUAAAACCGUUUCGAUGUGAGCGGUGACUCCAUAUAAGAAAGUGAGUCGGAGCUUUUAACACCGCGAGAUGAAGGGUGAGAGACUGCGGUGGCGUCGAGGUGAGAGUGUCGGAGGAGGACCGGAGUAGAUCUACGACGGAGUGGAGUUCAGAUCUGAUGGAUUCAAAUCGACAGACAGGGGAGACUUGGCGGCGAGGAGCGGAAGGGAGCGGCGGAGACAGUAGAAGAGAGACGACAGACGGUGACCCCGACAUGUACUCCGUCGACGAGAUGGGAGGCCUCGAAUGACUGAGCCCGUCGAGAGAUCUCCGAGGGUUGAAACGAGGCGGUGGUGACGCGGGCUGUCGAGAAGAACCGUACGUAUCCAUGGAAAGAACUGGAAUCAACGAGUUGCAGAAAGAGAUGCUGAAGCUUGAAACGAAAAUGGAGCAAAAGAAAAGAAGAGAAGCGGAAGCAGAGCGGCGGAGGAGUCGACGCCGACGGCAAGGGGCACCGCCGGCGUCAAGAGACAUGGCUUGUGGCGGCUUCUCGAUUCCCGUGUCUGAGAGGUUUCGUGAGCUAGUACGACCUAGCAUUAAAAAGAAUAAUU